UGAAGCGGUAAAAGCUCAAAUUUGAAAUCUGGCUCUUUUAGAGUCCGAAUUGUAAUUUGUAGAAGAUGCUUCGGGUGUGGUUCCGGUCUAAGUUCCUUGGAACAGGACGUCAUAGAGGGUGAGAAUCCCGUAUGUGACUGGAUACCUAUGCUCAUGUGAAGCUCUUUCGACGAGUCGAGUUGUUUGGGAAUGCAGCUCAAAAUGGGAGGUAUAUUUCUUCUAAAGCUAAAUAUUGGCCAGAGACCGAUAGCGCACAAGUAGAGUGAUCGAAAGAUGAAAAGCACUUUGGAAAGAGAGUUAAACAGUACGUGAAAUUGUUGAAAGGGAAGCGCUUGCAAUCAGACUUGCACUUGGUGUUCAUCAGGGUCUCGUACCCUGUGUACUUCAUCAAGUUCAGGCCAGCAUCAGUUUGAGUGGUUAGAUAAAGGCUUAGAGAAUGUGGCCCUCUUCGGGGGGUGUUAUAGCUCUAGGUGCAAUG
rnacentral:rRNA from 1 species